CGGGCCGUGUACUCCCAGAUGGCGUCCGGGUCGAGCAGGGCCUGAUCGCCGAAGUAGGCGCCGUUGGCGAGGACGCCGAGCACCGCGUCGUCACCGUAGGGGCCCGUGCCGAUCUUCUGCACCUUGCCGUGCGCGAGCAGGAACACCUCGUCGGCCUGGCUGCCGAACUCGGCGAGCACGUCCCCGGGCGCGAACCUGCGCUGCUGGCAGCGCUGGGCGAGCUCGGCGAGCACCUCCUCGUCCUCGUACCCGCGCAGGGCCGGCAGCUCGCCCAGUUCGGCCGGGAUGACGGUGACCUGGUCGCCGGUCUUCACGAACGUGACGCGGCCGUCGCCCACGGAGUAGGUGAUGCGGCGGUUCACGCGGUACGUCCCACCCUGGAUGUCCGUCCACGGCAGCAUCCGCAGCAGCCAGCGCGAGCUGAUCUCCUGCAUCUGGGGUGCGGACUUGGUGGUGGUGGCCAGGUUCCGUGCGGCCUCGGUGCCGAGACUCUGCUGCGGCUUGUUCU
rfam:Streptomyces nodosus strain ATCC 14899 genome.